GGGUGCGAUCAUACUAGCGUUAAUGCACCGGAUCCCAUCAGAACUCCGCAGUUAUGCGCGCUUGGGCUAGAGCAGUACUGGGAUGGGUGACCUCCCGGGAAGUCCUAGCGUUGCACCCU
rnacentral:rRNA from 1 species